rnacentral:rRNA from 1 species
UACGGAGGGGACUAGCGUUGUUCGGAAUUACUGGGCGUAAAGCGCACGUAGGCGGACCGACAAGUUGGAGGUGAAAUCCCAGGGCUCAACCUUGGAACUGCCUUCAAAACUGCCGGUCUAGAGUUCGAGAGAGGUGAGUGGUAUUCCGAGUGUAGAGGUGAAAUUCGUAGAUAUUCGGAGGAACACCAGUGGCGAAGGCGGUUCACUGGUUCGAUACUGACGCUGAGGUGCGAAAGUGUGGGGAGCAAACAGG